UACGUAGGUGGCGAGCGUUGUCCGGAUUUACUGGGCGUAAAGGAUGCGUAGGUGGAUAUUUAAGUGAGAUGUGAAAUACCCGAGCUUAACUUGGGUGCUGCAUUUCAAACUGGAUAUCUAGAGUGCAGGAGAGGAGAAUGGAAUUCCUAGUGUAGCGGUGAAAUGCGUAGAGAUUAGGAAGAACACCAGUGGCGAAGGCGAUUCUCUGGACUGUAACUGACACUGAGGCAUGAAAGCGUGGGUAGCAAGCAGG
rnacentral:rRNA from 1 species